AUUGAACGCUGGCGGCAUGCUUUACACAUGCAAGUCGAACGGUAACAGGUUAAGCUGACGAGUGGCGAACGGGUGAGUAAUGCAUCGGAACGUGCCCGAUCGUGGGGGAUAACGCAGCGAAAGCUGCACUAAUACCGCAUACGAUCAGAGGAUGAAAGCGGGGGACCGUAAGGCCUCGCGCGAUCGGAGCGGCCGAUGUCAGAUUAGGUAGUUGGUGGGGUAAAGGCUCAUCAAGCCAACGAUCUGUAGCUGGGCUGAGAGGACGACCAGCCACACUGGGACUGAGACACGGCCCAGACUCCUACGGGAGGCAGCAGUGGGGAAUUUUGGACAAUGGGCGAAAGCCUGAGCCAGCAAUGCCGCGUGCAGGAAGAAGGCCUUCGGGUUGUAACCUGCUUUUGUACGGAGCGAAAAGGCUCUCUCUAAUACAGGGGGCUCAUGACGGUACCGUAAGAAUAAGCACCGGCUAACUACGUGCCAGCCGCCGCCGUAA
rnacentral:rRNA from 1 species